GAUCGGUAGAUAAGUUGUUUUAGAUUCAUUUAGAAACCUGGAUGUGUCAACUUGUGAUUGGCUGACAGAAAAAAAAGGAAAAAAAAAAGUUUUAUUUUAUUCGUUUUGAUCUCUCUCUCUCCUCGUGAAAUCAUGGAAGCAUCGGAGCUAUAGGAUCUCUCCGACGAUGCCGAUUAACACUAGCAAAAAAAAAAAAAAAAGUGUUGUUGUUGUCAUAGAACCAAAAUCAAACUCAAUUGUAGAGGUCUCUCAGUCGGUAGGGGAAGCAAAGAGAAACAAUGGCCACCUUCACUGCCUCCGCUUCCACUAUGACUGCAUGUCUGGCUCUUCUUCUCAAGCCUACCGUCGCCGUCUCCGUUCCUGUUCUUGGUGAAGGCCUUCCCUUUUUCCUUCUUCUUAUGUUCUUUCUUAGAUCUCAUCUUAGUAGAGAGAUUCAUUCCGGUUAUGUGAAAAGUGAAGAUCUUCGGUUGUAGAAAACUUCAUGAUUAGAAAAAAGCUUCAUUUGGUGGUGAAAUCUACAACAAAUCAAGGAACUAUUUCCUCUCUCCUUCCUCCAAUGGGAACGCGGCUCAAUGAAGUAGUAGACAGAGCCAGAGCGAGAUAUGGUUAAAUCGGAAGAAUUCUGGAAACCAUCACAUGUCUCUUCGUGUUAAUGGAUUAUUCGGAGGUGGGAACAAGGACAAUAAAGAGGAUGGUAAUCAAAGGUGGUAGUAGUACAUCAUCUUAACAUAUAUAUAUUCCGCUGUGUCUUAUAGAGAAAAUGAAAGAUCAUUCAAACAUGAUUUUGUUCACAAUGCUAUAUAUACAGGUCUAAUGUGAUGACUUGUAUAAAGAAACAGGUCAUGUUCACAAAGCUAUACAGGUUUCGUGACUUGUGUCGUUGUAUCUGAUAUAGAACAUAUAUCCUCUGUUUUCAGUCUCUUUGUUGCAGUUAAAACGAAUCAGAAACAGGUUUUAUGUGUUAA